GUGGCUUAUGAACACAGUUUAACUUAUCGUUUGCAACUUCUUAAGUCAAGCACUGUCCUGAAUUUCUUUUCAAAAUACUGAUGUCAAUCACCCGUUUAUCACAAAUAUUUUCAAUAAUCCUCAGCCUGCAUAGCACUCAGAUAGUCAAUAUCAAAAAAUAUAAAAUACCCUGUGUAUAUGCUGCUAGUGGUCGAGUCAACGUUCACGUAACACUGCUACCUUGGGUACUUUUAAACAUUUGAGUCGUCUACAACUGAUUUUGAGCUUCCAUUUUUUAGAGGAUUCGUCUCCUUGGGUUAUAACUAC
rnacentral:lncRNA from 1 species